CGUGCACACAAACCCAGCGGUCCCAUCGUAUCAGUGGUGCGACUCAGUCUGGUGUGCAAACAGCAAACGGAUCCUUGUCGCCUUUCUGUGUCUGCAGUGACGGAGGAAGUGAAUCCAAGGGUCCACAGAU
ensembl:snoRNA